rfam:Jaapia argillacea MTCL 33604 unplaced genomic scaffold JAAARscaffold_1, whole genome shotgun sequence.
GUCCCUGUCGAUUAGUGGUUAAAUCAUCACGUUGUGGUUUACGCAAUCCGUGAAGCCCGAGGUUCGAAUCCUCGUCGGGACA